rnacentral:lncRNA from 1 species
CGGAGGACUCCCGACCGCUUCUGCUGCCAGCGUUGGGACACUGGGCACCACCAGCUGCCCGGGCUGGCUUGGGGGACUCCAGGGCCCAUGGAGGUGCCUUGGUCUGUGCCUUCGAGAAGCCCUCCCUGGAACUGGUCGGUGGCCUCCCACAUCCUCAGCCGGGAGGCCUUCCUAACUGGAGCCCAGCGGCGACUCGGAGCAGGACCUUCCAUCGCUUGUCGGGUUGUCUGCCACAGAGGAGCGGCACCGGAACCCUGGCUGCGCCAGCCCAAACGAGUGGCACAGCAUUUGAAACUCCCGGAGCCGCCCGAGGAGGCAGCAAGUGGGAAUGAGAUGCCACCUGCACAGCUGUGGCAGAACCCGAAAUAAGGUGUCACACAGUGUGGGGUCUCGCCUCUCCCCUUAACCCGGUGGAAAGGAGAUUCACUUUGUGGUCUAGAGAACAAAUGAACCUGUUGGCAAAAGACUCCUUUAGAUCAGAGCCCCCCCAGCACCAAGGAACAGAGCUCCCACCCUCCAGUGCAGAGAAGGUGAGCCUUUCAGGCUGCUGUACCUCUGCCCCCAGCGCCGAGGAGCAGAGCCCCAACAUUGAGGAGGUAAGCUGAGCAGGCACCAGCAGCACACUCCCCCACCCCCCACCCUUGAAAUGAGAAGACACAUAAACAAGUCUCAAAACUAGAUUUCCAGAUCACCUA